GAUGAAGAACGUAGCGAAAUGCGAUAAGUAAUGUGAAUUGCAGAAUUCAGUGAAUCAUCGAAUCUUUGAACGCACCUUGCGCUCCUUGGUAUUCCGAGGAGCAUGCCUGUUUGAGUGUCAUGAAAUUCUCAACCUUUCUGGCUUUUGCUAGUCAGGCUUGGAUUAUGGGAGCUGCUGGCUUUUGAAGUCGGCUCUUCUAAAAUGUAUUAGCAAGAUCAUUGCUGCUCAUCAUUGGUAUGAUAAUUAUCUAUAUCAUUGAGAGUCAGUUUCCUUUAUUGGAAGAUUCUGCUCCUAACGGUCUUUAGCAAGACAACAUUUGACGAUUUUGACCUCAAAUCAGGUAGGACUACCCGCUGAACUUAAGCAUAUCAAUAAGCGGAGGA
rnacentral:misc_RNA from 1 species